GACCUCAAAGAGACUUGGUUUGUAAUGGUAAGAUCACCUGAUUUGAUCUCCAUGUCUUCAUCUUCGCUCGGACCAUCAAUGACUGGGUUAUCUGCUGCAUGAUAUCAGUAUCAAUAAAAACAUUAACAACCUUAAGAACAAAAGAUGAAAUAGGUUUCUUUCUCAUACUGAGUUGACAGCCAACUGUACUACAACAACUGUUGCAUUGUUACAUUUAGAGAGGAAAGAAUUAAAUUGCCUCUUUAAGAAGAACCCAAAAAUGGUUGUUGUGAUCGAAAACGAUUUGGUCUGGUCACUAGACAGAAGACCCCGUUAACAUUCGACUUUCACACACAUCUUCUGGAGAUAUAAAAUCCUUGAGAGGGACUCACAGAGAAGACCUGAUAUGUUGAUUUAAUUAAAUCAUGAAGCCGGAUAUAUCAAACUCCAAAUCUCUUUUCCAGUGAGUACAAUGAUAGAAUCGAUCUGGAUUUUUAUUUGGAAAUGGAUCUAUCUCUUUAUCAAUAUAAAAGGAAUCAGGUAUUCAAACUAUAAGUGUUACUUCUCUGAUGCAUCAUUUACACCCAUCUAUAGCACAGGAAUAUAUAUAGCUUAGAAGAUAAUUUGCACGUUCAGCAGUACCUAUGCUGUUGGAAGUGAAUAGUGUAGGAAAACCUACAAAGGAAAGAAUACAUGAUUCAAGGAAAACAAAUUUAAUUCAUUGCCCCAUAGAUCAACCAAGUGGGAUCUCUCCCACGUACCAACCACUCUGUUCUUGAUGUGUGUAUGGGCAAAUAAUAAUUAGUCCUCCUGUCUGUUAUCGUAGCAAUUGUCGAUAUGAUAUAUGUAUCCAAGACAUGCAUCAUUAUACCUUUAACUCAGAAAAAUAGUCACAUGUAAUAUUGUUUAAGAUUGUCUUACAUAUAUUUGAAGAAGUGGCUGACUCCUUCACGCCCUCAAGCUUUCUUUCCUGAGGAGAGUCCAGUAGAUCAGGGUAAUAAACAGUAUGAACAGUGAGCCAGCGCUUGUCCAUGGCAAAGCUGC
rnacentral:lncRNA from 1 species